GAGUGUAAUGAGAGCAUGUUAAUAGAACAAUCAACGAGUUAAAUCAUUAUUCAUUGUAUAUGUAACUAUAAACUAGGCAACAAACAAUGCAAACAUCGUACCGCAUAACGAAAAAAUGCUUAUCAAAUGUGCAAAUAAAGCCUAUUUUGCCUCAACUGUUAACUUAAAAAGGUUUUUCAGAUAUUUCUUUGGAUGGCGUUUUCAGGAAAAAGGACA